rnacentral:rRNA from 1 species
UCAACUUACCCUAUGGAGAAAAAUAACCUCGGGAAAGUAUCAUAGUGGCUUAAAGAAUAUAUCAAAAGACUAUGAUACCCCGAAACUGAGGAUAAUGUUUCAUGGUUGAAUAGGCUUGGAAAAGUUUUUCAAUGAAUGGGAUAAGGAAAAUGGUUCUUAUCUGCCAUAGGAUAGGAUCGUGGUCGAUUAUGGUUGUUGGUGAGGUAACGGCUCACCAAGCCGAUAAUCGAUAGGGGCCGUGAGAGCGGGAGCCCCAAGAUGGGUACUGAGACAACGACCCAGGCCUUACGAGGCGCAGCAGGUGCGAGACCUCCGCAAUACACGAAAGUGUGACGGGGUUACCCAAAGUGUUCUAUUUUGAACUGUGGUAGGCGAGUAAUGUCCCCUACUAGAAAGGAGAGGGCAAGGCUGGUGCCAGCCGCCGCGGUAAAACCAGCUCUUCAAGUGGUCGGGAUAAUUAUUGGGCUUAAAGCGUCCGUAGCCGGUUUAGUAAGUUCCUGGUAAAAUCGGGUAGCUUAACUAUCCGUAUGCUAGGAAUACUGCUAUACUAGAGGGCGGGAGAGGUCUGAGGUACUAUAGGGGUAGGGGUGAAAUCUUAUAAUCCUUGUAGGACCACCAGUGGCGAAGGCGUCAGACUGGAACGCGCCUGACGGUGAGGGACGAAAGCCAGGGGAGCGAACCGGAUUAGAUACCCGGGUAGUCCUGGCCGUAAACGAUGCAUACUAGGUGAUGGUACGGCCGUGAGCCGUGUCAGUGCCGUAGGGAAACCG